rnacentral:rRNA from 1 species
UGGGGAAUUUUGGACAAUGGGGGAAACCCUGGUACAGCCAUCCCGCGUGUGCGAUGAAGGCCUUCGGGUUGUAAAGCACUUUUGGCAGGAAAGAAACGUCAUGGGUUAAUACCCCGUGAAACUGACGGUACCUGCAGAAUAAGCACCGGCUAACUACGUGCCAGCAGCCGCGGUAAUACGUAGGGUGCAAGCGUUAAUCGGAAUUACUGGGCGUAAAGCGUGCGCAGGCGGUUCGGAAAGAAAGAUGUGAAAUCCCAGAGCUCAACUUUGGAACUGCAUUUUUAACUACCGGGCUAGAGUGUGUCAGAGGGAGGUGGAAUUCCGCGUGUAGCAGUGAAAUGCGUAGAUAUGCGGAGGAACACCGAUGGCGAAGGCAGCCUCCUGGGAUAACACUGACGCUCAUGCACGAAAGCGUGGGGAGCAAACAGG